GAUGAACGCUAGCUACAGGCUUAACACAUGCAAGUCGAGGGGAAACGACAUCGAAAGCUUGCUUUUGAUGGGCGUCGACCGGCGCACGGGUGAGUAACGCGUAUCCAACCUGCCCAUCACUUGGGAAUAACCUUGCGAAAGUAAGACUAAUACCCAAUGACAUCCCACGAAGACAUCUGAAUGGGAUUACAGAUUUAUCGGUGAUUGAUGGGGAUGCGUCUGAUUAGCUUGUUGGCGGGGUAACGGCCCACCAAGGCAACGAUCAGUAGGGGUUCUGAGAGGAAGGUCCCCCACAUUGGAACUGAGACACGGUCCAAACUCCUACGGGAGGCAGCAGUGAGGAAUAUUGGUCAAUGGGCGAGAGCCUGAACCAGCCAAGUAGCGUGCAGGAUGACGGCCCUAUGGGUUGUAAACUGCUUUUAUAAGGGAAUAAAGUGGGUCUCGUGAGACUUUUUGCAUGUACCUUAUGAAUAAGGACCGGCUAAUUCCGUG
rnacentral:rRNA from 1 species